rnacentral:misc_RNA from 1 species
UGGCUCAUCGGAGUAAAUGCAUCGGAAUUUCACAGAGUAAAAGGGCUACCGGAGAAACAGAGAGUGUCAGAAGUCUUCAAAGUAUGAAAAUGUGAAUGUUAAGUAUAUCCUCCGAAAUACUUGAGACACCUCAGAGAAAAGAUCCCUUUUCUACCAUAUUUAAAGAUGAACACUACAGAGGUAUCCUGGUACAACCCUGAGCACGGGAGGGAUCUUAACCUGAACCUUGUUGAUCCAGGGGGAUCCAACCCGUCCCAGGGAAACAUUAGCUCCGGGAUUCACAGCAUGCUUCUCAUGCACUUAGCCAAGAACCACAGGUUUAAUCUGACGGAACAUAACAAGUCUAUCUUGAUCAACUCCUCCCUCCUCCACCCGAACCUGAGCCUGGAGCACCCGGUCAGCAUUGACUUCACCCUACCCAUCUUCGACCUGACCGCGGGGAACCUCAACCUCUUCUUCAUGAUCCUCUACGCUAUCAUCGUCGUCAUAGGCGCUGCUGGAAAUUUUAUGACGAUCUAUGUUGUUUGGAGAUCAAAGAGUAUGCAAACAGUUACAAAUAUGUACAUUUGUAGUGUUGCAUCAGCAGAUUUUAUACUUACUGUACUAGCUACACCAUUCCAGGCUAAGGCAGUUCUUUCACAACGUUGGGAUCUACCGAUUAUAAUGUGCAAGAUGUGCCCAGUUGUACUUAACCUAUCAGUGAAUAUUUCUGUAUUCUCCAUGACAUGUAUUAGUGUUGAUCGAUAUCAGGCAAUCAUGGUUCCUUUGACUCAUAAACCACUUAAGAGAACUGCAAACAUUAUCAUCUUAAUAGUUUGGAUUAUUUCUUUCUUGAUAUCCUUCCCUCAAUCCUACUAUUAUCAGUACGUAUACAAGACAGAGGGAAAUAUGUUAAAACCAUUCUGUAUGCUGGUUGAGGAGAAUACUAUUCCAUAUCACACAUUCUUUGCUGUUCUUGCAGUGUUCAACUAUUUUAUCCCUCUAUUCAUCAUUACAUAUUCAUAUACAAGAAUUUGCAUCAGGUUAAAAAACUCUGAAGCCCCCGGCACCACAAACACUUCAGCUCAAAGAGAAGUUAAUAAACGAAAGGUCGAGAAGAUGUUGAUUAUUGUUGUUGUUUUGUUUGUUGUCUGCUGGACCCCAUACACUCUCUUCUAUAUAUUCACAUUUGUACCUGGGUUCCUGCAGUACACUUACAUCAACGUUAUAUUCCUGGUUGCCCACUGGUUAGCGAUGAGUAACUCCUGUUACAACCCGAUUAUCUAUGCUCUCUAUUCAACGAAAUUCAGACAAGAAUAUCAUAAAGUUUACGAAAACAUUGUUAGAUGUACACCCUCAUCCAGGUACCACUUUUAUCAGAUGUACACCCUCAUCCAGGUACCACUUUUAUCAUUAUUGUUUUGUUUUUUAUCUCUCUCACUUUCUUUAACUUUCUUUAUCUUUUCUCGACCUGCUUCAGUUAGCGUAUAGGCUUAUAGUCACCGCUGCGCUUGGUACUGAGCAUGACUCUUGUCGGAGUUAGUGACACUGAAGAUGAACAAAAAAUUAACUGAUCUUUUUACUCCAGAAACUUUUCAAGAAACCCUUGGUCGUCCCCUGACUGAGGGAGAUAUUUGGUAUUUAGUGGACAGCCGAUGGUUUAAACAAUGUCGGAAAUACCUUGGGUUCAAUGAGCGACUUCGUACUGCUGGGGCCGGACCAGAGACCGAGGAGGCCCAUCCUGGACUUAUAGAUAAUAGUCACCUCAUGGACCCAUCAGCUCCAUGUGAAUUAAAAGAUAACAUGAGGAAGGGCUUAAAUUAUGACCUGGUUCCUCCUGAUAUUUGGUUCCCGUUGCAGGAACAGUUUGGCUUGGUAGAGGGGCAGGAACCCAUACCAAGAAUAGUUAGGAAGUAUGGUUUGUUCGGUGGGUUGUGCUGGGUAGAGGUUUAUCUAACAGAGUUCUGUCUAGCUCUAAACUCAGAUCCGGAAAAUAAAAUCAAACACAAGUUCAGCAAAGCAGAUGGUUUAGUUUAUGUCAUGAAGAAAAUAAGGCGAGUAUUCAAUGUACCAGAAACAGCAGAGUGCAGGAUGUGGGCCAAAUACAUUUCAUGUUAUAAACUUAUAGAUGAAUUAUCAGCAUUUCUGGAGUGUGGUCUAUACCUAGGGCAGACAUUAAUCCUUGAGGUUAGGGGUGAGGAUGGGGACUGGCCUAGGGAUAACAUAAGUCCGAGGUCAAUGGAAGAUAAGACGUCAAUACCGAUGAACUGCAAGGGCUGUAAAGAAAAGGAUGAGCUGUUGGAGGACAUGGAGAGGUUGUGGAGCGAGGAUGUGAGAAGCAUGAGUUGCAAGGCCUGUAAAGAAAAGGAUGAACUGUUGGAGGUCAUGGAGAGGUUGUGGAGCAAGGAUUUUAGAAGGAAGGAAGAUCUAGAGGAGAAUUCAUUUUGUAAAAUAUGUAUGGAAGCCCCGAUUGACUGUGUAAUAUUGGAGUGUGGACACAUGUGUACCUGUACUAACUGUGGAAAACAGAUGAAAGAGUGCCCAAUAUGUCGACAAGAAGUUGUCAGGGUUGUUCGGACUUUCAAGGCAUAGGAUGAACUAGAGAACAGGAGUUAACCAAAAAGUCUUUAAAAAAGUUUUCUCGAAGAAUAUAGUAAUUUUCAUUGUAUAAAUCGAAAUUGCUUUUCUUGCUAUCCCCUUUCCCCUGUUAUUAUAACAAAACAAAAUAAAACAUACACAUUAUAAACUUUGUGUGCUGGGUUGUCCUCCCCCCUCCCUACGAUCUUUUCUUCUUCUUUUCCUCUCUAUUCUUCAAUACCUUUUCCUGAUCCUCCUUUUCCUUUAGUUUUAAAUUGUUUUUGUUUUAUUUAAAUUGAACAUGUAUAUGUCUCAAUGCAGAAGGGCCUCUCAUUCAAAACAACCAACAAUGGUUAGAGAGGACCUGGUUAAAUUAUCAUUAUAUUAUCAUUAUUUUAAUUCAGAAUGAUGAAACUAAAGUAUAGAUUGUCCCGAAGUAUGAAGACAAUGAGCACAAAACAGACUGAAACGACUAGACUGGA